rnacentral:lncRNA from 1 species
ACAUGCACCCUUAGUUACACUUCUGAUCUCAUCUCUCCUCAGCUGGAGGUAUCUCCUGUGAACAUUUGGGUCUCCUGCAACCACAGCAGUCCCCCCUCCCCCACCACCGCCACUGCCACCGCUGCCUGCACCUGCUUUGGGCUCGCACUCCAGCUGGUGGAGUAUCUGCGGGCGCCCAGACGCAGGCCGGCCUGGGGCUCAGCCGGCACACCCCCAGGCAGCAGAGAAGGUGACGCUGGGCCUUCAGUGACAGGACCAGAUGUUCUUCCAAGGGAGAUCCCGACGGGUUCUGGAUCAAAGUCCUGCAGGCCUUGCCUACUUCUUCCGAAGACAGGACUCCGGGCAGAGGUGCUGCUUCAAGUCCAUGCCCAUGGCCACCGUGUAUGUGCCCGCCGCGUCUCACUAGGUUACCCGCAGAGCCGAGCGUGCCCAUUUUACAAGGAAGGAGAUGGAGGAGGCCAGCGUGGCAGGAGAAAGGCUGGUCACUGAGUCAUGGGGCCACCCAGGUGAGGGGUCAGCAUGGGCCGGGGUCCUGCAUGGCAUCCUCGCAGGAGGCGACUGCUGGCU